CUUUAUGCAAAUGCCGACGUCAUGACGUCGACGCUAGCCGUCGCGUCAUAAAAGGGGGAGGAGCUAGCGCGGCCGGCGCGAAAACGGCCGAAAUAUGCCGAAAUGCUAGGGGAAGGGAGCCCCUAAGCAGAGAGGAUGUCCUCCCUGGAUACAUCACCAACAGGUACCCUGACAUGUUGUACUUAUCUUAGCAGUGUUUAAUUGUUCCUAUUAAUCAUAUGGUCAGUAUUAACCCUUAGCUCUAUGGCUAUGUGUGAUGUUGACUGAAUGAUGUGCCUGCAUCCAUUAUAGCUGUCACUGGAGAUAUAUCACCACCAUAAAUGGAUAUCUACCUGUUUGGUCUAAGGUAUGUUUGGUGGUAGCCACAGAGAUGCACCCGUAGACUAUGUCAGCAGUUUUAGUUUUUCUUAAUUAGGUAUAAACAAGCUUCACUAAUCCACCUAUUCUACUACUACUACUACUACUUUGGAAUUCCUAUGCAAAACAGACAGAUAUUAGAUUUUGCCAAUUCAUUUGUUGGUGCACAUGCUUGUUGUAGUCGUUCUAUCAAAUAAAGGUAAUAUUUCCUAUUUAAUAACACUAUCCUGACUUCUCAGCACUGUAUAGAUUGUGGAAUAAUUGACAAAUAUCAACCAUAAUUCUACAUAUAGCUAAAGUAAGAGCUGGGCAACCUGCCCUUAAACUAAAAAAAGUCCCUGGCAAGAAGGCAGGAAUUAUUUUAGUUUGUGUUGCACCAUCCAUGGGGCGAAGUGAGACAACGCUCGAAAAGAAAGUAAGAGUAUUCAAAGUUGUAAUAGGGUGUUUUAAGGUAUGUAAUCUGCAAAAGAGGGAGAGGACAAAAUAACCUACUUAAAUAUUUUAUUUGUUCUUGUGAUUGUGCUAAUGAGACAUUGUCACAUGAAAACUUUUGGUCACUGUCCUAAGCAGCUGCUCCAUCUACAGUUACUGUUAAGUGCUAAUUAGUAGCUACAUACAUGCUUUAUUAGGAGAGAUUGAACAAAGGAAUGUUGAACGAUCCACGUCAAGCAAACCAUUCCCAGUGGAGUAUAUUAAGACACAGAGACUCCUAUUGUGCUAUUCUUUUUUCCUUUCUUCCAUUAGCAGCAAAAAAAAAAAAAAUUAUGAAAAAGGUUAACCCCCAAAUUACCUAAUUUUGGGGUAAAAUGGGUUGGAAGCCCAGAAAGGGUAUUGAAUUGUUGCUUACAAAUUGCCAGGAUAAACUUUUAGACUCUGAGUCCUGUGACUAAGUUGCAUGGACUGUUGGAAGCUGCCCAAUCUGGCAUGCAACAUUUGGAUUUUGAAGUUGCCAAGAGUUGGCUGCAGAGGAUUUUCUAUAUGUUGGAUAAUGCCAACACAUCGUUGGUCACAGAAUGAAGAAAGGACAUUCUCUUCAAAAUAGAGCCUAAAUUGGUCCAAACUGCCUUAAAUGAACCUGGUGCUAAGGGUUUGUUAUUUAGAGAAUCCUUUGUCAAGGAUUUGGGAACCUUUGUAAAACCCUUUAUGUUCUUGGAUAAGGUACAAAGCUCAAUAAGGUGUGUGUUUACAGCAGAGGUUUUUGGUGGGGAAGAACGAAGAGCCAUCGGUCUGGUCGUGGUUAAUGAGGUAUCUUUCCAACAAUGCAACUUCCUCCAAAUUUUAAACCAGCACGGUUUUUCUGGUCUGAGCAGACCAGUCUGGGUUACCUUGUAACCCUGUACCUCCAAAAAGCACAGAGUGACUUAAACACAAGAAGGGACUGUAAAACUUGGAAAAAGGUCCCCCAUGAAUUUGUCAUGCCCCUCCUCCCAAACUCAAAUCUACCCCACUAUGUCACCAUUCUCAGAGAGUCGCCGUGACACACACACACACACACACACACACACACACAUUAAAACACUAAAUCUGGUACCUCAUGUUUCCACCCUAUUGCAAUUUCGGUUACACUCAGUAUAAAGACAUACUUAAAGGAGCACUCCAAAUACCUAAAGGACUUUAGCUUGUUGUAGCACUUUAUCUGUAAAGAGUUCAUCCUCUUUAAAAAUGUUGCAAAAACUGCAGUUUUCAACAUGAAUAGGUGCUUUUAUACAUUGACCCGUCCCCCAAGGCUGUCAAUCGGACAUCUGGUCCUGUUACUUCCUGUUUGUUCAGCUCAAUAGAGCUAAACUCAAGAGGCAGCAAUUGCUUAGGGCAACUGCCUUGCAAAGACUUUGCAUUGGGAAGUCUGUUAUUGGACAGCCACAGAUAGUCUGGGCUGGGGAAGAAGUGGAGGGCUUGCAAAGACGACAGACAAGAGAUCUUGCCUGAAGCCAAUAAAAAAAAGUGUAAUUAAAUGCAUGCCUGUUUUCCAUGAAGCUAUAUCUACUAAAUAGUGAUUUUAAAAAAAAAUAUUCCUUUACGGGAAAACUCCAGUGUUAUAAAUACAGAUCUGUAUUUAUAACAGAGUUCUCCUGGUUUCUUUUUGGUUGUUACGGAAUCUCUGGUGCUCCUGUCUGUGAAGACAAAACUUUACUUAAAUUAAUUAACUGAACAGGUAUUGAAUUAAUAUUUUGCAAUCCAGACUGGUGGCGCUGGGGAGGGUUAGUUCUAUUGUUUUGUUGAGCUCCCCUUUGGCUAGUGUAUGGGGAAAGGGCUGUUAUCACUAUUGCUGUAUCCUGUGGCUAGCAGGAGGGAAAACAGAGGAGACACUCUGGCUGAGUACCAAGCUCUGCUACAUUUAGUGGCAGGGGUCGGAAACCAUUUCCUCCUUCACAGGGUACGGAGGAAGCAGUGCCGAGAACCCGGCGGAUGGAGCACCACUACCAACAAAUUAAAAUGAGUAAGCUAAAGGAUGUCCUAGCAGCCCGAGGACAAGCAACCAGUAAGCACUAUCACAUGUAGCAAACAAUCAUAUUGGCACACAAUCGUAUUUAGUACUUUGACACACACAUACACACCCCAUAUAUACAUCUUACAAGUCACACUGUUACAAACAGGGCUGUCUUCAAUGCGGGGCAAAUGGGGCAGCUGCCUCGUGGGCCCCGCGAUUUGCACAGCCCCCAUGGAACAGGCUGUGCGGCUGCCCAGAGCCGCCCCGGCCCGCACACUAAGGAGGCCAACCGGGUGGCUCAUGCACUAGAGGCCACCCAUGUGUCAGCAGGGGCUCAGUCAGGCGCUGUGACGCUUAAACAGCCACCUGGGAGGAAGUGAGUGCCGUGCGUCACUUCCACCCACCGGAGAUAAGAGCCGCGCGGGAGGAGGGGAGUUCCAGAAGAUAACUCCCAACUGCCUCAUCCUGCCACUGGACCCCAGGGAAUCCACCCUCCAGAAAAAGGUAAGAACCUGGAGGGUGGCUAAAUGUAGCAUGUGUGUCAGUAUGUCUGUCUGUGUGUCAGUAUGCCUGUGUGUAUGUCAGUAUUAUUAUUAUUAUUAUUGCCAUUUAUAUAGCGCUAACAGAUUCCGUAGCACUUUACAAUAUUAUGAGAGGGGGACUUAACUAUAAAUAGGACAGUUACAAAUAAACUUACGGGAACAAUAGGUUGAAGUAUGUCUGUCAGUGUGUGUGUCAAUGUUAGUAUGCCUGUGUUUGUGUGUCAGUAUGUAUGUCUGUGUGUAUGUCAGUGUGUGUCAGUAUGUCUGUACUUCUGUCAGUGUAUGUGUCUGUGUUUCAGUAUUUCUGUUAGUUGUCGGAGUGUGUGUCAGUGUAUGUGUCUGUGUGUAUGUCAGUCUGUCAGUGUAUGUGUCUGUGUGUGUGAGUAUGUCUGUAUGUAUGUGUGUGUAAAUAUGUCUGUGAGUAUAUAUUUUUGUGUCAGUAUGUAUCUGUGAAUGUGUCAAUAUGUCUGUGUGUGUAUGUGUCAGUAUGUCUGUCAGUGUAUAUGGUUGUGUAAGUAUGUUUUGAAUCUCUCUACUUUAGUUCCUCCCCCCCCACCCCCCCCCCAGCACUGGGGUGAAAAGUGUGAUUAGGUGUAAUUAGGGGGGUGGGAAGGGCAGGGCCCAGGGGUCCCAAGAAAAUGCUUUGCCCAGGGUCCUGUUCAUAUUAUAGAUGGCCCUGGUCUCAACCAUACAUUUAAUAAGCCAAAACUCACCAAAUUAGACGUGUUUAAUUAGCUAGUAUCCAUGGACUCUCAGCCAUGCAUACAUAUCUAGCACUAUAAAUCUCUCUCAAUUUGCCGCUGUCUCUUAUAUCUGCAUCACGAGCUACACACACAUUCUCUGAAGUACAUUUUCCCUUUUUCUGUCAGCUGCUGGUUUCUGCGGUAUUUGAGUAGAAGGGCUCCUGUUGUUUGCAGCCUUGUUGGCUCUGGUCUCCUGGGCACUCAGAGGAGUUGUGCACAGUGAUGGACAGACUUUGUCCGUCUUCCUCGAGCAAGCUACAGGUUGACAGUCAGCGCUGCCUGGCAUCUGAUUCAACUGGGGGACACGUUAAAGAUGCCAUGAUGUAAAGUUGUUAAAGUAAACCUGUCAUGACAGGUGCAAUGCAUUGAAUACACCAUCUGUCACAGAGAUGCACAAUGUGUUCAGUGUAAAAUAUAUAGAUACAAUCUCACUUUACCUCCAUGUCCUCUAUGUUCGUGGGUGUUACUUUCCUGACAGUUACCUUUUAAAGAACUUAGUCUCACCCUUUAA